GGGUUCAGGUACACAUUUGGGUAGGGAGGGGAACUGAGGUGAGGUAUUUACUGCGCGCAGCAGCGAUACGUUUGAUUCGGUUAUUUUUUUGGCGAAGCGUCUUGCGGUCUCGUUGCAGCGCGUGACGUCUCACGCUGCUGUGAAACGCUACAGGUGUGUCUGGCCGGCAAACGGAAGUGGCCGCUCGCGAGAUGCUCGACAUCUAGCAGUAACGCACGCGCUGGGCGGUACGGCUGGUGUGACCCAGAGCGAACAGUUACGGCAGCGCCCAUCCUUGGCUCUGUGCCCAAUGCCAGCGGACUUUGCAGGAACCACGGCAACACUCCCCUGCACCCUAUGGAGGAGCAUGGGGGUCAGAUCCAGCGCUUGGAGAGCACUGUCACAGAGCUCCAUUUGGAGAUGACCCUGAAGUAUGAAGACAAGCUGGAGCAGCUUGAGGAAGUGCACCACCUGGAGAACAGGAUCACGGAGCUGAGCAAGGAGGCAAGUAUAGAUGUUGUGCGCUUGAGCCCGAUCUGCCAACUUGCUGUUGUGAGGGGCCGCAGCUGUUCGGAUCAGAGAACCUUCCUGGGCCUCCAUCAUGCUGUGCCAGGUCUCAUCAUUCAGAGUUUUACCAGUGCUGUGGAAUACUGA
rnacentral:lncRNA from 1 species